CGCGUAGGCGGCCUUUUUAGUCAGACGUGAAAUCCCCCGGCUUAACCUGGGAACUGCGUCUGAUACUGGAAGGCUUGAAUGCGGGAGAGGGAUGUGGAAUUCCAGGUGUAGCGGUGAAAUGCGUAGAUAUCUGGAGGAACACCGGUGGCGAAGGCGGCAUCCUGGACCGACAUUGACGCUGAGGCGCGAAAGCUAGGGAGCAAACG
rnacentral:rRNA from 1 species